UACGGAGGGGGCUAGCGUUGUUCGGAAUUACUGGGCGUAAAGCGCACGUAGGCGGCUUUGUAAGUUAGAGGUGAAAGCCUGGAGCUCAACUCCAGAAUUGCCUUUAAGACUGCAUCGCUUGAAUCCAGGAGAGGUGAGUGGAAUUCCGAGUGUAGAGGUGAAAUUCGUAGAUAUUCGGAAGAACACCAGUGGCGAAGGCGGCUCACUGGAGCUGGUAUUGACGCUGAGGUGCGAAAGCGUGGGGAGCAAACAGG
rnacentral:rRNA from 1 species